CCUGCUUUUGCCUGGUUACUCUGUGGGAUUGAGUCUAUUUUUGGAUUACCUUCUGUGGGCUCUGAGAGGAAGUCUUACACCCCGAGGGAGAUUUGAGGUUUGGGCUUCAUGUAUUGUAGCAAGAGUCAGAGCUGAACUAUAAAGGACAAAAACUGCAGUUUUUGUCCACAGUCAUUAUCUCAGGCUAGUCGCUGUACUUGAUGGGAGA
rnacentral:lncRNA from 1 species